CGGCGACGGUGGGCAUGGGGAGGGAGAUGAGGUCGGCGACGAGGGACCGGACCUUGGAGCGUAUGAGCUCCAACCGGGACUCGGAGGACUUGGCCCAGGAGAGAUCGUAGCCGUUGGAGAAGAAUUUGCCAUGCGCGGUGGUGAUUAGGGCUGAGGGUGAUGAUGACGUGGCGGUGGUGGUAACGGCGGUUCGGAUUUGGUUGAGGGCGGACCGGAUUGAGUCGAUGAGAGUGGGAUUGAGUCUGUGCUCGCCUGGGCCUGUUAGCGUUAGGAUGAAGACGUUGCCUUUCCUCUCUAAUGUGCACAUCUCUCUCUCUCUCUCUCUCUCUAGAAUUUGAAGUUUAAGCUUUGGUUAUGGAGGAUCGAAUAUUCAAGGACUUUGCCUUCUUCCCAUGGAUUGGUCAAAUUGAUGCAUCAUUUGUGACUUCAUAAUAUUAUAAAAUGUUGUCCUCUUUUGUUUUUUCUUCUGUCUUCAACGAACAUGUCACAUUCAAUCGAGAAAUACUUUCAUGCAAUUAAGGCGGCAUUUUAAAAAAUGGUUAAAACAUAUAAUAAUGUUGGAUUAACUUUAUGGAUUUGUUUUUAAUAAUGUUUGAUUAACUUAAUGAAUUUGUUAUCGACAGCCAUUUCAUCAAAUAGUUUGAUUGUUGUAAACAAUGAAGAUUUUUCAGAAUCAAUUUUUGCUUUUUAUCUUUUAGAUUUUGAUUGGUUUUGAACCAUAGAACGAAAAUUAUAACUUAGAUAAGGUGGUAUUGAAAAAGGUUGGGGUGGUGCCAUGAAGAGCUUCUUACUCACAACUCAGAUUUAAACAUACAUGUUACUUGAUAUGUACAUGAAUGAGAAUGAUAUAUAAUUAUUGUAAGGUAUGUGAUAAACUACUUAUUUGAGGUUAUUUAGGUACAGAAUAAUACGGGAAGAAUUGAAUUUUUAUUAGGAAUAAUGUUUGCAUUCCUUCAUUGGAGGAUGAGCUAGUUCUUUCUUACGAAUAACGUAUUUAGACCGUAUAAAUUUUAUAAUCGAAAUUGUUUAAUUUUUUUAAUCUUCGUUAGAAGAUUACCACUGCAAAAACUCAUUUAAAUGUAUAGAAUAGCUUUUUUGUAUAGGUUUAAAGUAAUAUCCUCGUGAUUUGAAUGAUUUUUUGUAAUUUUAACCCUUAUACGAAGAUUAAUAAAUUGAAUGGUUCUAAUAACUGAUUUUAUUCGAUCAAGAUCUUGAGAAUAUGCUAAUCCCAUCUUUUAUUGGUAACAUAAAAUGACAGACAAGUGAAAAAUCCAACCCAACAAAACUCACAUCAAUUUUCGGCCAAUCAAAACAAAAACAGACCCGACCCGAACCAAAUUAUCACCUACAGUCGUGAUUUUCUGCCAGUAGUAUUUCUGCGGAUCUCAUCCAGAACAUCAGACAACAAGUCCUUCCGAAUAUGAGCGUACACGUGUCCGUUCCACUUCCGCCGAACCAACUCCUCCCCCAAAUUAGCCGCGGCCUCGACGGUCUCCUCCGCGCUAUCGUGCGCCGAGUAGAUAAUCCCCUUCGCCACUGCCACGUCGGCUUUCACCUUAUCGGCUCUGAGCAACAAGUCGCGCCGAGCCGCCGGCGAGCCGACCUUGCUCUCGAUCAGCGCCAAGAACCAGCGUGGCAGAAGGAGCUCGAUGUCGAGCUCGCUCAUGUAGAUGAAGCCGCGGUCCCUCCUCAUGAGAAGGUAGUCGUGGCUGAGAGCGAGGAUGAAGCCGGCGGCGGAGGCGUGGCCGGAUACGGCGGCGAUGGUGGGCAUCGGGAGGGAGAUGAGAUCGGCGACAAGGGACCGGAGCUUGGCGUCCAUGAGCUCUAUGCGGGAUUCAGAGGACUGGGCCCAAGAGAGAUCGUAGCCGUUGGAGAAGAAUUUGCCAUGUGCGGUGGUGAUUAGGGCUGAGGGAGAUGAUGACGAGGCCGUGGUGGUGACGGCGGCUC
rnacentral:lncRNA from 1 species